AGGGUUGUAGUUAAUGAUAACAUUUAAUUUGCAUUUAAAAAUUAUUGAAUUUAUUCAAUCUACCUU
rnacentral:tRNA from 1 species